AAUGAACGUUGGCGGCGUGGAUUAGGCAUGCAAGUCGUGCGAGAUGUUUCUUAGCUUGCUUUGAAACGGACAGCGGCGAAAGGGAGAGUAACGUGUGGUUACAUGCCCUCGGGACUGGGAUAGCGUCGGGAAACUGGCGGUAAUACCGGAUAACAUCUAAGGAUCAAAUGGUGAGAUUCCGCCCGAGGAUUGGACCGCAUACUAUUAGCUUGUUGGUGGGGUAACGGCCUACCAAGGCUGCGAUGGUUACCGGGUGUGAGAGCAUGGCCCGGCUCACUGGGACUGAGACACUGCCCAGACACCUACGGGUGGCUGCAGUCGAGAAUCUUCGGCAAUGGACGAAAGUCUGACCGAGCGACGCCGCGUGCGGGAUGAAGGCCCUCGGGUUGUAAACCGCUGUCAGUUUGGAGGAAAGGUCUGUGAAGAGCAGGCCCUGACCGAUAUUCAGAGGAAGGACGGGCUAAGUUCG
rnacentral:rRNA from 1 species